ACUGCAGCCAGAGUUUUGACUGUUAGGGCUCGAUCAGUGCCUGGCUGUCAUGGUGGGAGCAGUCAGCGUCUGCCGCCAAAAUGCUUUGUCAGACGCCCACACAGCAGGAUUAGAGUCCCUACUGCCAAAGCAAACAUGUUAGUAAGCAAGUCAGACCUCUCGGAUGAUGUGCGUCCCUGAACACAGACGUGCUCAGGCUGUGUCAUGCAGCUCACAGUGAGCAGGUUGUACAGAACCUUCUAACUUCUGUAAAGAUGGAAGGAAAGAGGACUUGGAGGCCAUGAGUUGUGAAGCUUGGUUGUUUCCGAAGGAUGAGAUGGGCUGAGAAACCAUCCGCAUUUGCCUGCACUGGCCAGUCCUGGAAUCAGUAUUCCCCCGCAACAGAAGCGCCGUGGGUCUCCUGCACCCCGCCGGCCACUUCAGCACCGUUCAGCUCACAUGUCAAACUCACUCAGGCUGUUAGCCUGAAUGCCCCACAGGCCGUCAAAAAGAGGUCAGGCCAUUUGACGUCGACAGUUCCCCCAGGGCUGGGGACCCCGCAGGCCCUCAAAGAUUUGGCGACCCAGUGAACACACAGGGGUCCCCAACGUUGCUUGGGUCAAGCUACCAAUCUGCCCUGAAGCCAGGGUGUGUGGCAUAGAAACCGCCAGGGAGGAACGGAUCUGCGUCUGCCUGCCCACGUGCGAGCCCCCCAAAUGCGGGUUAAAUACAACCCCUAUGAUGUCGUUGGGAUAGUUAUGGAGCCUGGAGCCCGCUAUAAUUCAUCUGCACAUUCACUUCCCCUGCAUAUCUUCUUAGUUUAUUAGUGGAUAGAAAAAUUCCAGCAAAUAAUUAAGAUGAGAAUGGAUGACAGAGCCUGAGUUUUGCAAAGUGCUUCCUAGUUGGCAAAGCAUCUCUGUGUACAGUAUCACUUGACAAACAAUGAGUCUGGCUGGAAGGCAGCACACAAAGCAGGAAUUCUGUUACAUCAGCUAGAGAGAUCACACUUUAAAAAAUAAAGCUCUGAUCCUCUCGGACUCGGUGAUUCUAAUCUUCAACCCUCCCCUUUGGUGCACUAAGGAAGAGUGGACGGGCAGAACCCUGCCAUGCUCUGGAUAAAUCCCAGCACAAUAGAAUUCCUCAUGGAAAUAAAUCAUCUUUUCAUAUAAAAUCUUCUGAAGACCAUUUCAAGAAGAGUAAUAGGUCUGCCAGUCCAACACCUGCAGGGUGGGUAAUAAUUUACUUAGCCCACUGACUUGGGGGCAGGUCCUGCUCUUGAUAAAUGGCCCAAUUAAGCAUCUGUUAAUCACAGCAUUAUCUCAUCGGAAGGUGGAAUACCUAUUUCUCUGGAGCAGUUUCUCAGUGAGAUAACAUCACAAAUUCCUCGAACUGCGCGAAGAAAGGACAUUUAACCACACUGGGAACAAUGCACUGCCCCUCUCCGGAGCUCUGGCCCCGACCGUUGCUGGGAAUAUCCCUUUGCCCCAUCCCGGCCCUUCCCCCAGCAACCUUCCUAUAACCUCGGCUCCUGAACUCUCGUGUUCGUCUGAGGCCUUGAUAAUAAAGCAACAUCUGCAAAACCUA